AAGUACUGCACCUACUUAGUUCCAUAUACAGACAGAUCACUAGAUUCCUAGGGCUCUGAUGGCUGGGAAGUAGCAAGCCAGGCGGGAAUUAUCCUGGCCUCCCCCUGUGGAGCGAGACCUGCAGGAUUAUUCUUUCCUCUUGUGGAAACUUCCAGCCAACAACUUCUUUCAUGAGCAGCAUGAAUCCAGUUUCCUAUGGAGUCAGAAAUUUGAUUAUCCUUGAAGCACAUGUUGGAUUUUUUCUCUACUCUCUAAAGCCAACCAAAGUUUUCCA